UACGGAGGGGGCUAGCGUUGUUCGGAAUUACUGGGCGUAAAGGGCGCGUAGGCGGAUAUUUAAGUUAGAGGUGAAAGCCCAGGGCUCAACCCUGGAAUAGCCUUUAAUACUGGAUAUCUUGAGUUCGGGAGAGGUGAGUGGAACUCCGAGUGUAGAGGUGAAAUUCGUAGAUAUUCGGAAGAACACCAGUGGCGAAGGCGACUCACUGGCCCGAUACUGACGCUGAGGCGCGAAAGCGUGGGGAGCAAACAGG
rnacentral:rRNA from 1 species